rnacentral:rRNA from 1 species
UACGUAGGCAGCGAGCGUUGUUCGGAGUUACUGGGCGUAAAGGGUGUGUAGGCGGUUGUUUAAGUUUGGUGUGAAAUCUCCCGGCUCAACUGGGAGGGUGCGCCGAAUACUGAAUGACUAGAGUGCGGGAGAGGAAAGUGGAAUUCCUGGUGUAGCGGUGAAAUGCGUAGAUAGUCAGGAGGAACACCGGUGGUGUAGACGGCUUUCUGGACCGUAACUGACGCUGAGACACGAAAGCGUGGGUAGCAAACAGG